rnacentral:rRNA from 1 species
AGAGUUUGAUCCUGGAUCAGGAUGAACAUUGAAAACAUUCUUAACACAUGCAAGCCAGAUUGGAAGUGGUGUUUCCAGUGGUGAACAGGUGAGUAACACAUAAUAACCUGCUCUUGGGAGAUGAACAAUAGUUGAAAUGGAUGCAAAUACCCCAUAUGCUGAGGAGAAAAAUGAGGAAUCUACCCAAGGAGGGGCUUGCAUCUGAUUAGUUAGUUGGUGAGGCAAUGGCUUACCAAGGCGGUGAUCAAUAGCUGGUUCGAGAGGAUGAUCAACCAUACUGAGACUGAGACAUGACCUAGAAUCCUACGGGAGGCAGUAGUGGGGAAUUUUUUGUAAUGGGUGAAAUCCUAAUGGAGCAAUGUCCCGUGAAAGAAGAAGGCACAUGGGUUAUGGAAUUAUUUUCUCGAAGAAGAUGAAAUGAUAGUAUUUGAGGAAUAAGCAUUUUCUAACUCUGUGCUAGUAGUCGUAAUAAGACAGAGGAUGCAAGAAUUAUACAUAAUGAUUGGGAAUAAGGCGUUUGUAAGUGAAUUUUCAAGUCUGUCAUAAAAUCCUAGGGCUCAACCUUGGACAACCAGUGAAAAAUACCAAGCCGGAGUACGAUAGGGGGAGAGGGAAUUUCAAGUGGAGUGGUGAAAUGAAUUGAGAUAGAAAAUAACAUCGACAUAGAAAGCACUCUGCUAGAUUGACAUUGACACUGAGAGACAAAAGUUAGAGGGGGGGAAUGAGAUUAGAUAUCCCAAUAGUCCUAUCCAUAAAUUAUGGAUACUAAGUGUUGUGCAUAUCGGCCUACAUAGUGUUGUAGCUAAUGCAUUAAGUAUCCCACAUGGGGAGUACGUUCACAAGAAUAAAACUCAAAGGAGUUGACGGCGGAAUGCACAGGCAGUGAAGCACAUGGUUCAAUUCGAUGCAAAGUGAAGAACCUUACCAGGGCUCAACAUUUCAUGAAUCCUCCCAAAAGAGAGGAGUUCCUUUGGGAAUGUAGAUACAAGUGGUGCAUAGUUGUCAUCAUUUCAUUCCUUAAGGUGUUUGGUUAAGUCUCACAAUGAGCACAACCCUCUUGUUUAGUUUCCACCAUUGAGUUUGGAACCAUGAACAUACUUCCAGUGAUAAGCAAGAGGAAGGUGAGGAUGAUGUCAAGUCAUCAUUCCCCUUAUUCCCUAGGCGACACAUGUGCUAUAAUGGCCUAGAUAAAUGUUUCAUAGUGGAUUCCUAAACUACCCAACAUACAAUAAUGAACUCUAUACUCUAGUUAAAGUUGUUAAUAAAUGGAAGCACUAUCUAGUGGGCAAGGAGACCAUCAUCCACACUGAUUACUAGCCAUUGUAGUAUUUGUAGGCCUAGAGUAAGCUUCAACAAACCAAACACUAGAAGUGAAUGGGGUUUUUACAACAAUUUCAUUUAAU